rnacentral:rRNA from 1 species
AGCGAUUGAAACGAUGUCGAUUUGGAGGUCGUGCCCUUGAGGCGUGGCUUCCGGAGCUAACGCGUUAAAUCGACCGCCUGGGGAGUACGGCCGCAAGGUUAAAACUCAAAUGAAUUGACGGGGGCCCGCACAAGCGGUGGAGCAUGUGGUUUAAUUCGAUGCAACGCGAAGAACCUUACCUACUCUUGACAUCCAGAGAAUUCGCUAGAGAUAGCUUAGUGCCUUCGGGAACUCUGAGACAGGUGCUGCAUGGCUGUCGUCAGCUCGUGUUGUGAAAUGUUGGGUUAAGUCCCGCAACGAGCGCAACCCUUAUCCUUUGUUGCCAGCGAUUCGGUCGGGAACUCAAAGGAGACUGCCGGUGAUAAACCGGAGGAAGGUGGGGAUGACGUCAAGUCAUCAUGGCCCUUACGAGUAGGGCUACACACGUGCUACAAUGGCGUAUACAAAGAGAAGCGAACUCGCGAGAGCAAGCGGACCUCAUAAAGUACGUCGUAGUCCGGAUUGGAGUCUGCAACUCGACUCCAUGAAGUCGGAAUCGCUAGUAAUCGUAGAUCAGAAUGCUACGGUGAAUACGUUCCCGGGCCUUGUACACACCGCCCGUCACACCAUGGGAGUGGGUUGCAAAAGAAGAGGUAGCUUAACCUUCGGGAGGGCGCUUACCACUUUGUGAUUCAUGACUGGGGUGAAGUCGUAACAAGGGAUGCCUA